UAUUGUGGAAACGUGGGGUUUAUGGCAGGCAACUGCAAGCUGCGCUCGCCUCUUGGCGUUCCUGCCGGGAGCAGGGCCCCUCAGCAGUGCCCGCAGCUUAUCGUGUUGGUGGGCCGCCUCGAUGCCGCGUCCCCCUUUGAAGGGAGAUGGGAUGCAGCUUCGCUUAGUGUGCUUGUUUUCCUGUUCCCCCUGGAAGGAGCUGCACGCACGUCCUCAUGGUUGUAAGCGGGCUGUGCCAGCGGGCUGGCGUUAGCCCAGCUCCUGGUUUAGUGGAAGCAAAUGUGCCGAGAAGCUGAGAUCUGCUUGCCCCGCUCUCCUGCCCUAGUAUUUCAGCCUCGACCACUGCGGCUGGUAUUCCCUGGGGAGCCAUCCAAGUGCCCCAUCCACCAUCACAGCCUCAUUCCACCGUCAGCUGCUACCACGACCAUCAGAGCAGCAGGUUAGAGGCUCCAGGUUUCUGAAGGGCUUCAGUGCCUGGGAGCCACCAGGCUGCUCGUGCAUCACUGGCACCAAACCCUGCUUGGAGGCUGUGCCUGUGCCACUGCAGCACCCACGGCACUCAGGAGUGCAGAGCGGUGACAAAAUGCACCGAGACAGCCGUGGGGCCUGGCCACCGGAGUGAGCACAGAGGGCAGGACCGGGACCCUCCUUCCCCAUCAAACCGCAGCAGCUUCCCAGUUCCGCAGGGCACUGUGCCAUCAGGAACUCCAGGGAGGUUUCUGUAGAAGAAAGUGUAUUUUUGUGCCUGGAUGUUCAAGCCGAGCAUCUCUUGGGGAGCAGCAGUGUCUACUAUUUUUAUUUAUUGACUUUUAAAGGAGAGUUAAGAACAAUUUAUCAAAAAGCAGUGGAGAAUCUGGUAAUUGUUUAAUUUCACAACAGCAGGGUUAUGGCCUGAUGCUCUGGCAGCACGACAGCACGUUGGCCGUGCUUGAGCAUCCAGAGUAAGCAAUCAUCAAUUACCGCUCCGUGAUUAUUACAUGCAAUGGCUACAGUCAAAGCAACGGAAAAGCUGCUUAUCUCUCUAGGAACAUAUCUUCGUGUCGUCCCCCAGAACAUGUGGAAGAAGCGCUAUUUAAUGCGGGAGGACGAGCAGCAUCUGACUCAGCGCGGUGACUCACCGGGCCCGGCAGUUGCUCAUCGCCCCGCGUCCGCGGUCCAAGUGUCUGCGGAGCUGGGUGGGGUGCGAGCCCCGGUGGGCUCCCAGCCGGCUGCGUCCCGGGACUGGGGUGGGCGGGGGGCCCCGGAGGCUGCGCGUGUUGCAGGCUGCACCUGACCUUCUGCUGCCGACGGCUUUUCAUGGCGAAGCCGGGCUCGGCUCUGAGCAGCGGCAGCCGCGGUGCUGAAGCUAAGCAUGCUGCAGUUAUUCUUUCUAGGCUGUGUUUGCCCUCCCCGUUGUAACCACAGGUUCAGAUUAUUUUGGUGGGUUGCCGUUAGCUAUCAUGUUUCCCUUAUGUUAAUUUGUUGGUCUUAGAUGAGCUCCCAGAAAAGACUUAAUAACAAGAGCUGUAGCCAAGGAAAGCACAGCCUCGUCCGGCAGUUACUGUGCAGCCAAAUUAUCUGCCCGUACCGCCAAGCCUCCCAGCACGGUGUGCGCUCCUCGCAAGUGGCGGAGGGUUCCUGGCUGGCCAGACGGGAGCACAGCGGCACCGGGGCUCCCCAGGCAGGAGCAGGAGGUGGCGGCAACACUGCUCCCAGCUCCGCUGGGUGUGAGCAGCAGGGGUAGGUCACAACGCCGCUGGGGAUGGAGAGAACUGAAGCACUGCAAAGGAUGCUGCGGCAUCGGCCUCGGGCAGCGAGCACCGGUGCCUGGGGAUUCUGGCUCAAACUGUGGGACCGCAGCAGUGACCCCCCAAAUGAGUGGGGCUGAGCCUCCUCCUUCGCUGCAGCCCUGGUGAUGCACCUUGGCACCCGUCCUUCUGAGAGGAGCGGCCCUGGAGCAGUGUGGCGGUGCCAGAGAGGAGAGUGAAGUGGCUGCUUGCAGUGUGGUCAGUAUGGGGCUGGUGACGGGCACCUUGGGGACACGGGCAGCUCAACCAGUAGCAGAGACCAGGCACCCUCCUCCCCACAUUGCUGCCUCGCAAGAGCCAUGCCCCUUGCUCUGUUGACGCAGGUUGUGACAAAUCACCUGUGUGUGUGUGGAAAGCUCCUCACCUGGGCACAAACACAUGCUUAGUAACAUAAUCUCUUAAAAGCAAAAUCCCAGAAAUUCCUUUUUCUUCUUGGAAAAUGUUGCCUGGGGGAGAAACUCAUAAUGAAGGAUGAAAGCUUAAUCCUUGAGGUAGAACAGGACUUUGGGGAGGGAAUGAGUAUAAACAUGACAGUUGUUGCUCGGCGAGUUGGAAAGAAAGGUGAGGGGAUAAAACCUGCACCGGGAAGGACGGCGCGGGUGGUGCUGCGGCUGCGUGACCAGGGAAGAGCGACCUGGCGGUGCUUCCUCCCAGAGGUGUCACAUUUAUCAUUUAAAUGUGCCUGUGACAAAUGCACAGGGUUAUCUUGGCAACUUCAGGCACAGAAAAAUGUUGUGUUUUGAAGGUGGAAGAUGUGGGGAGAGUGAAUUACGCUCCAUACCUGUGUAACUCAUGGAAGGAGACAGCCCUGCCUUACCAGAUUUAUUUUUAUGUUGCCUGCCAGCACCCCUAUUUACAGCCCAGAAGACAUGACAAAAUGCGGAGGUGGAAGCGCAGCGUGUGUGCAGGCUCCUGCAGCUGGGCACAACCAGGAUAAAAAAGGCUGGGAAGAAUGGCACUGCAGACGGCAGCCCUGCCCUUGCACACAGGCACCGCUCGGACCAGUCACAGCUCUCCAGCACACACCACGUCCUGGCUGGGCUCCACUCUGCCCCUGCACUCACCGCGGUCACCGCAGGGGCUGCGGCACUGCCCAACGGCGGUGGAGCCAGGCAGCGAGCGAAGAGCUUUGCCCUGGGCUCUGCGCAGCACAGCAGGGCGCCGGGCUCGGUGCUGGAGGGAUUUCACAUGGGUGGCUGCUAAUGCACCCACUGCAUGGCCACCUCCCCGCCCACGGCAUCACUGCGCCCGAGGCUGAUGGAGGCAGAGAGGCGGAAACUGGAUCUGGCCGCACAGGCGGUGACCCCACGCACUGCGGUGAGCAAGGGGCAGCCGGGCCCUCAGCACCACUGCAGCCCCUGGGGAAGCUGCUGUGGUGCCUGCCCACCAUGCCUGGUGUUCUGGGGCCCAGGUCCUGCCCGUGGAGUUGGCUCCUGCCCCAGGGGCUGUGCCCACCACAGUGAGUUUUGAGAGUGCUUGGUGCCAGCUCUGGGGCUGCCCAGGAGGCCAUGGUCACCAGCACCCGGAGGAGAUGGUGCAGUUCCUCAGGUUGUCCUGCGGGUCCCAGACAGCUAAAGCCCAGCUCAGAGCUGUGUGUGUUCACCCUCAGGCUCAGGGGGUCACAACAGAAAAGUUUCCCAAGGAGUCAGUGAGGGGGAUUUUUGCAGGCCAGAGGUUCCCCUUCCCAGCUCAUGGGGGGGGGGGAGGGGGGAGGGGGUCAGGUGCUUGCUCCCAGGACAGCAUCCCUAAACCAUCAGCGUCCAGUCAGAGAAGGACGAGCGCAGUCUGCUUCUCCUGUUGUUUAAUUCAGAAAAGGAGCAGAGGAGGUGGGGUUACACUCUCCAGAGCACAACCUGCUCUGGGUUUGCUCACUGCGCAGCAACGGUGUUUACGGACUCAGAUUCCAAACCUCUCCUUUCUCAAGGCUGUGAAGAUGUAUUUCCUCUUGUGCCAUUUCUCCUUCUGGCAGGCAGGCUCCCAGGUGUGUCUGGUAAAUGUCAAAGUGGGAAAUAAAGUUUUUCACUGAAAAAAAAAAGGGGGGAAAAAAAGAAGUGCAAGUGGUGCAGGGUAAGGGCCAGCCUGGGAGCAGCGGGCAGGCAGCACCACCAGCCCCGGGCAUGGCCGCUGCAGCCCCGGGGGGGAGGAGGGGGGUGGGGCGAGCAGCUCAGGAUGGCUGGGACUGCACCAGGCCCCGGCAGGCUGCUGUCACGCUCGCCCUUUGUUUUUGUCGAGCACAUGGGUGGAAACAAGAAUACUGCAUGCUUCAGCCAUGAGGCAUCCUGAGAGCCCUGGCUCGGUGCUAGCACUGUCACGGUCACCAAGCGCCAGCCCUGGGCACGCUGCAGCCCGGCUGGUCCCUGCUCCGCAGCCAGGCUGGGCGCUGGGUGCUGUGGGGGCAGCACUGUGGCCACCGUCCCACAGGGGCAGCCUGAGCACCAAGUAAAAGCACAACAUGAGCCGUAACCAUGGCCCAACACGUGCACGUCACACUUGGCCUUGUAUUGCCUGCCCUGUGUCCAGCCCAGGUUACUGCAAUUUUCCUGACGAGUGCGAGCGUGUGUGCCUGCGCCUCUUGGCUAAUCUCUGAAGCCCUCAUAUUGCUAAAACAGAUGACUGUAUUUAUCUGAAGUGACUAAUGGGCGAGUGCAUUCCUGGCUCCACCAUCAUCUGGUUCUCGUAAUGUCAGUCAUGAUUAACACUAACAAACACACUCCAGCCUCUGCGGCUGCGUUGCACGGCAGUCCUGUGGCGGUGGCACUUGGUCACAGCCAGAUGGCUUUUGGCAACCUCGCUGGUUUGCAUACAGAUGCUGGCACCAGUGCACUCGCACAGCCAGCUGUGUGAUGCGGCAUCGCAUGGUGAGAGCUGCUGCAGU